rnacentral:rRNA from 1 species
UGGGGGAUAUUGCACAAUGGGCGAAAGCCUGAUGCAGCGACGCCGCGUGGGGGAUGAAGGCUUUCGGGUUGUAAACCUCUUUCGCUAUCGAACAAGGCCCGCUUAGGGUGGGUUGAGGGUAGGUGGAGAAGAAGCGCCGGCUAACUACGUGCCAGCAGCCGCGGUAAUACGUAGGGCGCGAGCGUUGUCCGGAAUUUUUGGGCGUAAAGGGCUUGUAGGCGGCUUGUUGCGCCUGCUGUGAAAACGCGGGGCUUAACUUCGCGCGUGCAGUGGGUACGGGCCAGCUUGAGUGUGGUAGGGGUGACUGGAAUUCCAGGUGUAGCGGUGGAAUGCGCAGAUAUCUGGAGGAACACCGAUGGCGAAGGCAGGUCACUGGGCCAUUACUGACGCUGAGGAGCGAAAGCAUGGGUAGCGAACAGG